rnacentral:ncRNA from 2 species
AUAUCAGACCGGAAGGGGAAAAGUAACCCGGGGCGACCCUUAAAGAGACCACAUGGGGCUGGAAAUGUGGAGGGCAAGCCGGGUGAACUCACCCCGCUAAAGGGCGGUGAAACCAGUAGUCGUCCUCGUUUCCCGCGUUAAGGGGCUAAGGGCCACGGCAACGUGGAACGAUGGGUGGUACCGCGGAGAAAUUCGUCCCGUUU